UGGGGGGCGGGAGGGGAAAACAGAACGAUGUAGAACUGCUCUCUAAAAUAAUACUAAAAUUAAAGUUUUAUCCCUCAUGGAUAUUGUUAAGUCAGUGAUCGUUACAGAGUUAAAACUGGGGUGUUUACAUCCUUGGCUUAAAUAGGUUUUUUUUUCCCCUGUAGAUUUUCAACAUAGGAUUUCUUUGUGUGACUGCUGUCCUGGAACUCACUCUGUAGACCAGGCUGGCCUUGAGUUCACAGAGAUCUGCCUGCCUCUGCCUCCCGAGUGCUGGGAUUAAAGUCAAACGCUAUCACUUCCCAGCAACUAUAUAAUUUUUUAGCUGUAAUUAAAUUUCACAAGGGAUUUGAAGGGACCUGUAGUAAGAACCAAGUUACAGUAUGGGUCUGAAGUAAUGUGGGACCACGGGGGAUGUUGAGACAAAUUUAAAGUCAAGAUCGUUUUCUUGUUUUCUAGUGCUGCAUGAGAAAUAAUCUGGGUACUUAGUAAAGUGUCUUACUCCUCUUGGGUCUCUGGCUGGUGGAGCUCACUUGGACUUCUCUGUGCAGGGUCACAGGGUGAGCCGAAGUGCGAGGGAAGAGAACUCAGCAGCCUCACUGCUCAAUGGCGAGAGUGUCGGUGUCAUAUUGUUAGUGUCUGUGAACUGGAUACAUGGAGGCAGCUAGCUGCUUGGAAAUGCAGUCUGUUGUGCCACAGGAAGAAAAAGGAGGCUAAUGUGCCGCCUCCACUGACCCUUUGUGACCUCUCAUGUAAACCUACCUCCCACAAGCACACCUCCUCCAGGAACCUUUAUCAACCUUAUGUCUUCUUGAGCCUGCGUGAGCCAUUUUUAUCUUCAAACCACUAGGCACUAAAUAAUUGAACAUCUUCCGCCCAAAGAGCUAUUUAUAUUUACUCAUGCUAUACAGGAAAGAAAUGUCGCGGGAUUCACGUUUCAAGCCGAAAACAACGGGAUGGAUGAAUGCAAUGUAAGCAUGAUCCGGAACUGCUCAUUGUCUCCCAAAAGGGACACGUGCACUUCCGUUAGCUGACAUAGGGAAAAAAUAGGGUUUCCACUCCAUCUUACCUGUGAAUGGGAAUGUGGGCUUGUCUGUAGCUGAGGUUUGACCACAGUCAAGGACAGUACCCUGGGGGAUAAUAGGCACAGGAAUUGCCAAUAGAUGGAGAGAAAAGAAGGAAGAAAAGAAUAGACUGAUUGAGAGGGUGGUGAGAAAUCUGAUUGAGAGGAAUGCUACAUAUGGAAUGCCAUGGAAUUCAAGUCAUUUUUUUCAAAUUUAAAUAUAAAAAUAGUAACAGAUUAUAGACCCUGAGCUCCAUAGACACUGUCUCAGAAUAACCAAACAACAAAGGCCUUGAGUCACUGGGAUCAAAACACCACCCAGCGCAUUUUGGUUCUACAUGAAAGAAGAGAUGAAAGCAUAAACUCAGCGCUAUCAUACUGAACACUGUACCAACUUAAUAAUAAACCAGUGGGCUGUCUCGGACUAAGCAAAACUAAACGAGCACAGCUGCGGCCCGUGCUCUGUAUCCCUUUGAUGUACAAUUUGCCCAUUCAGCCCUCAUUCAGACCACUGCAUUGCCUCCUCAGCUUCUCUCUCCUAUUCAACCCCAAAUGGGGGUGCCACCUCCAUGUGUUCCUGGCGCCUUCCGUUUGUUUUCCUUUGAAGGAGGAAAUCCACCAUGGGCCAUGUCUUUAUUUCUUGAACCCUUCCCUAGGAACCAGUGUGCAUCGAGCUUCUUGAUGCAGAAAGUCACCAGGGAGCGUCUAAGUAAAAGCAUGGACUGUCCGAGAGGCCAGCGCUGCCAGAGACCUGGAGUGCUGUGCACGCGUAUUGAUUGUCAUGACCUAUUUUGGCUCCAAGACUUUAUCCAGAUACUCCACAGCGCCUGCUUGCAAACCUUGUUCCCUCCCAGAGAGACAGUGAUCCUGAGAUAGCUCUUCAUCCCCACACGUGUCUUAAGGGAGUUCCACAGGCUUGUGACGGCUGGCUUGCUUUCUUUCUUUCUUUCUUUCUUUCUUUCUUCCUUUCUUUCUUUCUUUCUUUCUUUCUUUCUUUCUUUCUUUUUUUUUUUUUCAAUGCCUGGUUGACCUGACAGCUAAUCUUAGGAAGAUAGCUAGAAGUAUGCAUGGUUAUUGUGCUGUCAGCAUGCUCGUGGAUUAGACCAGAAGGCUUUAUGGAAAUAGAAGAAUAUUUGUAGUUUUAAAGCUGUGGUAGUCCAGUCAGCUUUGCACCACAGUGACCAAAUACCUAAUGUAAUUAACUUAAAAUGGGAAAAGACUUAUCCUGCGAUGGUUUGCAGUUAGUCUAUAGUCAUCUGAUAGGUAUUUGGUUGCUUGGUUUGGCAAGGCUCAACGUCAUGGUGGGAGCAAACCUGCUUGUCUCAUAGCAGCCACUGAAGGACCAGAGUCCAGGUACACCCUUUUAAGUGUUCCCCACAAAAGUCUUCCAAUUCAGCCCCACUUCCUAAAGUUUCCACUCCCUUCUAACAUCAACUGUGAACCUAGUGUUCAGCACAUGAGAUUUGCGGGGGAGGCGCUUUGAAUCAAAGCACAAUGACACUCAACUUAUAAUUUCAUAUUUGGAAGACAGGUUCUCGAAUUCAGUUAUUCAACUCUCCCACCCACUGAGGCCAGUCUUUGGUUCCUACGAAGGAGAUUAAGCAUUACAAAUUGAAUACGUGGCAAAGACUCUGGAGGAAGUAUUCUUCUAGUGUUAUCGGCUUCAUGAUCCUUGACUUAAGACUUGUAGGAAGCGAAGCUAUCUUGUAGAGAGCUGAUAUUGAUUCUCGUUUUUAAAUACAGAUGAAUGCUGUCCCGUGAAGGUAGGACACUCCCACUCUUGAAAGAAGCUAGCUCUGCAUUGCCUGUGUGCUUACUUCCUGUGACGGUUUUACACACCUGAUAGGUGAAAUUGCGCUCUUCUGCAUCUGGAACUUUCUGUUUGUGAGAGCCAUUCCUCGUGUUGUGUGCAGCUGCUGUUGUCUGCUGUCCAUCCCCAUUGCUUUGUAAGGAAUAGAUGGACUGUGGAAUGACUACUCAAUGGUACUAUCAAUUUCAUCUUCUCUGAAUGUGGUAAGCAGUUCCACGCCUAUGUAUACUUCUGCCAUGAUUGGCUGCCUCAUUAUAGAUCUCCAUCCAGUCAUAGACUACAAUCUCCAAGGCUGAGCGCCAAGCCAGCUUUCUCUUCAUACGCGUAGGAUGUCAGAUGUUUUGUUAUAGGAUGGAAAGCUAACUGAGAGCAUUACCUUCUGACUAAGGGCAUCCAUCAGGCUUGCUGAAUUCCUUGACUCUAGGGUCUAUCUGCUCCAACCCCCUAUUACACUGCUGCCAGAACCUUUCCCCCUGAAAUACCUCAGCUACAAGAGCAUCCUUCAAAAACCUGACGCUGGGUGUGACAGGAACUUGACAGAUUCAACACAGACAAGCUGUCACUAAGUUCUGCAGUGUCUCCUAAAAGUGGGACCUAGCCUUUAGUUCGCAGCUUGUUGGAAGUCAAGAGGUACCUCAGGAAGUGUGAGGGGACCUAGAGUUGUGCUCAGGGAGCACUCUCUUUUGAAUCCACCCCCUUGAAGGACCAAUCUCUGGGGGAUUAUGGUAAAAAUUUAGCCACUACCUGUAUACCAAGCAAGCAUCAGUUUUGUAAGUCCUUCUCAAAAAUGCUCAAGAGGACCAGCAGUUGCCUAGCAUAACGGUUGAUCUUGGUUGUCGACUUUACAUCUGGAUUCUCUUAAAACCCAAGCAACUGGGCAAAAGCCUGAAAAGGGAUACUCUUGAUUAAAGCCUUGGAGGUGGGAAGACCAACCCUAAAUCUGGGCCACGCCUCACCUCCUGGUAGCAGCCCACGUGAAAGAAGGUGGAAAAAGGAAGCCUUUGCUCUUUUCCUGCUUGCCUUCAUUCCCACUGGCAAGGUCAUCUGCCCUGCUGCUGUGGCAUUCCGUCCUAGUGAGCUCCAUAGUGACAGAAGUGAUGUCACAUUUAUCUCUAACCCCCACAAUGUAGCAGUGUUUGUUAAAUGAGUGAGUUAGAGAAUAGAUGGAUUAAAAUGUGGAUGUGGGCAUUCUCCGCUAUGCCACGCUACUGCACCAUGCUAUUGGGAGCUGUGGAUGCAGGGCAGAAAAGAACAUUGGUGGAGGGGUCCGAGUGGAGAAUUCAGAGAUGGCCUUGAGCCUGGCAUGCCUGGAUCACUUAACAAAGUGACUCCCAGAAGAGCCAAAGCAGGGAUGCUGAGCCCCGCAGGAGCAACUGCAGAGCAAGACUCUGGGGGACCCCUGGAGGAUGGAAUCUGAGAGGAGAGACACUGAGAUGUGGCUCUUGUUCCUGGGCAUUGCUUUCAUGGACUCCCAGCCUUCAAUCCCUGGACCAUGGCUGCAAGUGACUUGAUCUCCUUUCUCAGAACUUCUGAAAACCUGUGAGCUGUAGAACGGACCACACUGCUGGACAUCAGAGGGGAAGAAAGCAUGUGUGGGGAAUAAAGUCACCAUUUCUCCAGGGGAAGCCCAUACUCCUAAAGCUACUCCAUGCCAUCUCUGAACACCCAUCUCGCACACGCUGGUAGAGGAGUGGCCUUCGGCUUAGAUCUCUAACAGCUGCUAUCAUGGACACUGUUUUCCAUGCUACUGUGCGAUGCUAGAUGGCCACUGUGUAGAGAGAGAGCUCUCUUAUGUGCUUGGCUGGCGGACUCAUUAGCAAUCUGCUUCUACUUUCCAGCCCCGGGAAUAUGGGUGAGUUUCUCUUCUCUCCUGCUGUGACAUCAUCUUCCUUUCUCACCGGAAUUUGCCAUGUGCUUGCCAGAGUUGGUUAUGAAACCCAUCUGAAUUCUCUCCUGUGGCUGGAAUUCCAAGAACUUUCUUACAUAUUGCUCAAGCCCUGUGCUCCCAGAAUGUAACAUAAGUUCUGUGUUACAGACUUAGAAGCAAACAGUAAAUGACCCCUCAGAGACGGGUUUGUUUUCAAAAAGUGUCUCAGGUAUUUCAGAGUCCCCUGCCUUAAAGACACAUCUUGAUAUCUGAUACCCUGAAUUCACAUAAUCGUUGAUCCAGUGUUCAGAAAGGAAUUAGAACCGAUUUUUCAUGUAUGUGGGGCUAGGAAUCAAACUCAAGUAUUAGUAAGGUUCUUUAAAAGAACAGAACUGAUAGAGUACACACAUAUGAGUUUAUCAGCUUGGCUUAUAGGCUAUGGACUGGAUAAUCAACAAUGCCUGUCUUCCAACAGGAAGGCUAAGAAUCCUAUUGUUGUUAAGUCACAAAACUGGUGUCUAAGAAGUUCUGGAGCUCAGAGGAUUGCUAGAGAGUGGUUGGUUUUCAUUCUAUACUGAGACCCAAAGAAGGAAAUGAUAGGGAUUUCUUGCAAAACGAAAAGGGAGGAUAUAUAUAUAAUCUGCCUACAAUUUAAGCAGAGGAAUGACAAUAAUCUGAUUUGCAUUUAUAAAGAUAAUGUGGAAAUUCUA